rnacentral:rRNA from 1 species
GGUAAUACNUAGGGGCGAGCGNUAUNCGGAAUUNUUGGGCGUAAAGAGUGGGUAGGUGGCUAUUUAAGNGUGGGGUGAAAGGCAGUGGUUUANCCAUUNUAAGCCUUGCGAACUGGAUAGCUUGAGUGCAGGAGGGGAAAGUGGAAUUCCUAGUGUAGCGGUGAAAUGCGUAGAUAUUAGGAGGAACACCAGUGGCGAAGGCGGCUUUCUGGACUGUAACUGACACUGAGGCACGAAAGCGUGGGUAGCAAACAGGAUUAGAUACCCUGGUAGUCCACGCCGUAAACGAUGAGCACUAGGUGUUGGGGGAAAAACCCUCAGUGCCGCAGUUAACGCAAUAAGUGCUCCGCCUGGGGAGUACGCACGCAAGUGUAAAACUCAAAGGAAUUGACGGGGACCCGCACAAGCAGCGGAGCAUGUGGUUUAAUUCG